GACGAACGCUGGCGGCGUGCUUAACACAUGCCAGUCGAACGGAAGGGCCCUGCUUUUGUGGGGUGCUCGAGUGGCGAACGGGUGAGUAACACGUGAGUAACCUGCCCUUGACUUUGGGAUAACUUCAGGAAACUGGGGCUAAUACCGGAUAGGAGCUCCUGCUGCAUGGUGGGGGUUGGAAAGUUUCGGCGGUUGGGGAUGGACUCGCGGCUUAUCAGCUUGUUGGUGGGGUAGUGGCUUACCAAGGCUUUGACGGGUAGCCGGCCUGAGAGGGUGACCGGCCACAUUGGGACUGAGAUACGGCCCAGACUCCUACGGGAGGCAGCAGUGGGGAAUAUUGCACAAUGGGCGGAAGCCUGAUGCAGCAACGCCGCGUGCGGGACGACGGCCUUCGGGUUGUAAACCGCUUUCGCCUGUGACGAAGCGUGAGUGACGGUAAUGGGUAAAGAAGCACCGGCUAACUACGUG
rnacentral:rRNA from 1 species